CCAACUUCUUGGCUACUUUAAGGCAAAAUAUAGUUCGCAAAAUCUACAGCUACUGUUUUAAAAAAGUAGUUAAAAACUACUGGCUACUUGAAAAUUGUAGUUCGCUACAGUAGCGAACUCGACGAAGUAUUCAGGAUAUUUCAUAGCCAGUUUAAACGCCGGUGAGCACUAUCCUUGUGAAUUAUGAUGCCCAACACACCGGGUAACAAAAUUUACUACUUCGUUCGGCUGUUUCAAAUACACUUUUAAGAUCAAGGUCCGAUUAUAUCUUGUUCUUCGAAGCAUUUGCUCAAAACAAUCCAACAUAAGUAUCGCCACUCAUCUUCUUCGUAUGAAAAUAUAGGUUUUUCUUUCAAUUUGUUUGCUUUAAAAACAGUCACUGGGUUGUUAAAGAGUUAGUCUGUAACUUCGAACGAAAAAAGCAAAGAUGCUUUCAAAAACCAGUGAAUCACAAUGCUGUAAACUUCAACAUCCUUAGAAAUUGUGAGCAAAACAUCGAAAAGAAAAAUUUGCGGGAAAAAGCUCACGAGCCCGCACUAUUUUCAUGCAGCGUCGACGAAAGUCCCCUCUGUUGACUUUUAGUUUUUUUUAGUUUAAUUUACAGGCAAAUAGAUGCGGUGCAUGUACUAUUCUGUUCUGGAAAUGCUUAUGUUUUAAAGUCCGUAGCUUUUAUCAAACAGACCAACUAAACCAAUUAGAAAUGCUAAAAGCGAUCUUAAAGUAAGUGUAAUUAAAUACCAUGCAUUGUUGUAAAUCGAAUAUAUAUUCAUAUAAUAAUAAACUAUAAAUAGGACGCUAGUUUUGUCCAACGUAACCGAUAAUAGUGUCCAUCUUUCUUUCGAUAUAUCAGAAUAACCUUGUCGACAACGCAUGAUCCUUGAAAAUAAUCUUUGGUAUGUAUUAUUGUGGAAAACGUGGGGAGGGAGGAACGAUGUAUGACCAACUCUGUAAAGUAUCUUCAAAAGUAUCUUUAAUAUAAGAUUCUAGAUUUAAACAUUUUUCAGGGCAGCAUACCCCACGGA